UACGAGGGGGGCGAGCGUUGUUCGGAAUUAUUGGGCGUAAAGGGUGCGUAGGCGGUUUGGUAAGUCUUAUGUGAAAUCUACAGGCUCAACUUGUAGUCUGCAUGAGAAACUGCCGGGCUUGAGUAUGGGAGAGGUGAGUGGAAUUCCUGGUAUAGCGGUGAAAUGCGUAGAUAUCAGGAGGAACACCUGUGGCGAAAGCGGCUCACUGGACCAUAACUGACGCUGAUGCACGAAAGCUAGGGGAGCAAACAGG
rnacentral:rRNA from 1 species